rnacentral:rRNA from 1 species
AGAGUUUGAUCCUGGCUCAGGAUGAACGCUGGCGGUCUGCUUAACACAUGCAAGUCGAACGGAACUUUUCGGAGUUCAGUGGCGGACGGGUGAGUAACGCGUGAGAAUCUGCCUUCUGGUCGGGGACGACCACUGGAAACGGUGGCUAAUACCGGAUGAGCCUACGGGUAAAAGAUUUAUUGCCAGAAGAGGAGCUCGCGUCUGAUUAGCUAGUUGGUGAGGUAAAGGCUCACCAAGGCAUCGAUCAGUAGCUGGUCUGAGAGGAUGACCAGCCACACUGGGACUGAGACACGGCCCAGACUCCUACGGGAGGCAGCAGUGGGGAAUUUUCCGCAAUGGGCGAAAGCCUGACGGAGCAAGACCGCGUGAGGGAGGAAGGCUCUUGGGUUGUAAACCUCUUUUCUUGGGGAAGAAAAAAAUGACGGUACCCAAGGAAUCAGCAUCGGCUAACUCCGUGCCAGCAGCCGCGGUAAUACGGAGGAUGCAAGCGUUAUCCGGAAUUAUUGGGCGUAAAGCGUCCGCAGGUGGCACUUCAAGUCUGCUGUCAAAGGUCGGGGCUUAACCCCGGGAAGGCAGUGGAAACUGAAGCGCUAGAGUGUCGUAGGGGUAGAGGGAAUUCCCGGUGUAGCGGUGAAAUGCGUAGAGAUCGGGAAGAACAUCGGUGGCGAAAGCGCUCUACUGGACGACAACUGACACUCAGGGACGAAAGCUAGGGGAGCGAAUGGGAUUAGAUACCCCCGUAGUCC